rnacentral:rRNA from 1 species
CCCUUAGAGUUUGAUCCUGGCUCAGGAUGAACGCUGGCGGCGUGCCUAAUACAUGCAAGUCGAGCGGUAAGGUCCCUUCGGGGGUACACGAGCGGCGGACGGCAGAGUAACACGUAGGAACGUACCCCAAACUGAGGGAUAAGCACCAGAAAUGGUGUCUAAUACCGCAUGUGCUCCACGGAGUAAAGCUACAGCGGUUUGGGAACGGCCUGCGUCCGAUUAGCUAGUUGGUGAGGUAAUAGCUCACCAAGGCGACGAUCGGUAGCUGGUCUGAGAGGAUGAUCAGCCUGACUGGAACUGAGAACGGUCCAGACUCCUACGGGAGGCAGCAGUAGGGAAUUUUCCACAAUGGGGGCAACCCUGAUGGAGCAACGCCGCGUGCAGGAUGAAUGCCUUCGGGUUGUAAGCUGCUUUUAUCUGUGACGAAUAUGACGGUAGCAGAUGAAUAAGGAUCGGCUAACUCCGUGCCAGCAGCCGCGGUCAUACGGAGGAUCCAAGCGUUAUCCGGAAUUACUGGGCGUAAAGAGUUGCGUAGGUGGCAGAGUAAGUUGGUAGUGAAAGCGUGCGGCUCAACCGCAUAAACAUUACUAAAACUGCUCAGCUAGAGGAUGAGAGAGGUCGCUGGAAUUUCUUGUGUAGGAGUGAAAUCCGUAGAUAUAAGAAGGAACACCGAUGGCGUAGCAGGCGACUGGCUCAUUCCUGACACUAAGCACGAAAGCGUGGGGAGCAAACGGGAUUAGAUACCCCGGUAGUCCACGCCGUAAACGAUGGAUGCUAGCUGUUACAGUAUCGACCCUGUUAGUAGCGAAGCUACGCGUAAGCAUCCCGCCUGUGGAGUACGGUCGCAGACUAAACAUAA